rnacentral:rRNA from 1 species
UGGGGAAUAUUGGACAAUGGGCGCAAGCCUGAUCCAGCCAUGCCGCGUGAGAGAUGAAGGCCUUAGGGUUGUAAAGCUCUUUCAGUGGGGACGAUAAUGACGGUACCCACAGAAGAAGCCCCGGCUAACUUCGUGCCAGCAGCCGCGGUAAUACGAAGGGGGCUAGCGUUGUUCGGAUUUACUGGGCGUAAAGCGCACGUAGGCGGAUCGUUAAGUCGGGGGUGAAAUCCUGGAGCUCAACUCCAGAACUGCCUUCGAUACUGGCGAUCUUGAGUCCGGAAGAGGUGAGUGGAACUCCUAGUGUAGAGGUGGAAUUCGUAGAUAUUAGGAAGAACACCAGUGGCGAAGGCGGCUCACUGGUCCGGUACUGACGCUGAGGUGCGAAAGCGUGGGGAGCAAACAGGAUUGGAUACCCUGGUAGUCCACGCCGUAAACUAUGAGAGCUAGCCGUUGGAGGAUUUAUCCUUCAGUGGCGCAGCUAACGCAUUAAGCUCUCCGCCUGGGGAGUACGGUCGCAAGAUU